AGACUAUAUUACAUGGAUUUAUUGUGGAGGUGUAGACUAUAUUACAUGGAUUUAUUGUGAUGGUGUAGGUAGACUAUAUUACAUGGAUUUAUUGUGGAGGUGUAGACUAUAUUACAUGGUUUUAUUGUGACGGUGUAGGUAGACUAUAUUACAUGGAUUUAUUGUGGAGGUGUAGACUAUAUUACAUGGUUUUAUUGUGACGGUGUAGGUAGACUAUAUUACAUGGAUUUAUUGUGACGGUGUAGGUAGACUAUAUUACAUGGAUUUAUUGUGACGGUGUAGGUAGACUAUAUUACAUGGAUUUAUUGUGACGGUGUAGGCAGACUAUAUUCCAUGGAUUUAUUGUGGAGGUGUAGACUAUAUUACAUGGAUUUAUUGUGGAGGUGUAGACUAUAUUACAUGGAUUUAUUGUGACG
ensembl:lncRNA